AAUAAAAACCUCAUUGUAACCAGAACAACACUGGCUCUGAGACGUGUUGGGCAAAACAUGACCGCUUAGGCAGCAAAUGCGUCAGGGAGUGGCAGACCCCGAUGUGCGGGGAGGCAGUGGGAUAAUGGGAGCCUUGGGAGGCCCUGGUGGCCCUCAGGUGGGAAUAAUUCUGGAGAAAGAGCUGGUGCAGCCAGAAUGGUGGGAGGGCUGCUAGUGGGGUGGAGAGAAUGAUUUAAGGAUUAGAGUUUGAAGAAGUUUGAAAGUAGAAUUUAACACUCUAACAAGCUCGGGUGAUGGAUAAGGAUAUUUUAUCCAUCCCUCCAUCCCUCCAGAUUGUCUCUUUGGAGAAAGGUAACUUGGAGAAAUUUAAUAUCUCCCCAGAUUGUAUGAGGCCAGAAACUCCAGGAUUGUAUUUGAUCCUAAUUCCACACUGUCAUAUAUAAGGGGAAAUGGCACAAAUCAGUUCUACCGUAUCACCAGCCAACCUAUUUUCUGAUGAGAAGGACAAUCCUUUGUUUUGGAGGAGUUUAUAAAGUGGAAUUUAUUUUACUCGACUCCUUCUUUGAUUGAAAUAUUGUCAACUUAACAAAAUAGUGAAAGAGCAUUGGCCUGGAGUCAGAAGACUUGAAUUCUCAUCCUAGAUCUGCUACUAACUAGCUGUUUGACCCUGAGAAGUCACUUUACCAGAAUUACAGUCUUUCUCUGAGAUGAGGAAAGUGGAGUAGAUAUGUCACUUGAGGUCCCUCCCAAGUGCUAAGAUUCUAUGACUCCACGAAUUCAGACUAUCAGAGGAGAACACUGCAGCGUUCUUCUACAUAGGUUGUAAAUGAGUCCGCUUGGCUUUUGGCCUGUCUCUCUCCUUGUUGUAAGAUGGCUAUAUUUUGAGAUACUUGCCGUUGAGAUACAGUCACUAUGUGGGAGGAAACCCAGGUGGCAUGGAGAGGCCACAUGUAGGUGUUGUAACCGACAGCUCGUUAAGUUCUAGCGGAAGCCAGCAUCAACCUGCAGAGUGAAUGAACCUUCGAUUGAGCUCAACUCCCAGCCCCAGAGUCUUCCAGUUUAGGCCUCAGAUAUCACAGAGAAGAGACAAACCAUCCCCCUAUGCUGUGCUGAAUUCCUGAGCCACAGAAACCUGAGAGAUGUUAAAUGAUUAUUGCUUUAAGUCACUGAAAUUUGAACUAAUUUGUUAUGCAGCAAUAGAUAACUUUUGCUAUAUGCUUCAUUGUUCAUGUGCAAUCGGUCGAGGAAGAUGGGGGAGGGCAGAGAGACUAUGAGAAACUAUCCCUUGCUAUGGAGUAACCAUCUUCCCCUUCAGUCUGAAUGAGCCAACUUAGGUCUCAUACCCACUCGCAGACCAAUAGCAGCUAUCAGAGAAAGUCAUGCAUUGGUUGGCCUGGAAUACUUGGGAUCUCCCCUCUCAAGCUGGGCAUAGAGCCAGCUUCCCUGGCGUCAUGUGAGCUGACUAGGGGUUAGUUACAGACCUGAGCCAAAUAUAGUUAAAAAGGAGAAAAGGGAAAUGAAAGGUGAGCUAGAGGAAAUGAGGUUCACUACAUGCAGGUAAAAAAUGAUUCACAGAUGUUAAAGUAACACUGAUGAGAUUACUGCGUUAAUAUAGAAUAAAAAUUGAAUGACAAAGAGACCAUUUAGUAUUUAAGCAUAAUCAGUAUUUAUAGAAUGUCUUCUGUAUAAAAGUCACUGUAUUAUGAAUUCCAGGGAGUCAGUGAUUAGUCAGACGUGGAGCUUGCUCUCAAAGAGCUUAUGCUAUAGUUGUUUGGUGAAAAGUGAAAGCGAAAUACAGAUUGAGCGACAGGGGAGCUCAGAGAGGAGGGAGAUUGCUUCAACUCAGGACAGUCAGGGAGGGCUUUUUGGAGGAGCUGGCAUUUGACCUGAGAAUGAGUCAGAUUUGCAUCUAUGGAGAACAAUAGGGAAGGGAUUCCAAGCAGAAGGAACAGCACAAGCAAAGGCAUGGAGAUAGGAAACCUAUAGAUAAAGUCUGAGAACAUCAGAGACAAAUCAGAAAAUAAUAAUAACAAGUGGUGCCUCUUACUAUGAGAUAUAGAGACUUCUUAUAGAGCUUUAAUAAUUAAAGGACUUUGUGUGGCAUUGGCACAGAAAGAGACAAAAAGAACAAAUGAACAAAUAAGUGAGGAACAAGCUAACCAAUCAAAAACUGGAACAGAGAGCAUAGGAACAUCCCCACAUGUAUAUGGAAACUUGGUGUGUAAUAGAGGGCAUUGCAUUUCAGAAGGGAAAAGAAAGACUGUUCAAUCAAUGGUGCAGAACAAUUAUCCAAAGAGAUGGAAAAAGAUACGAUUAG
rnacentral:lncRNA from 1 species